GAUGAACGCUGGCGGCGUGCUUAACACAUGCAAGUCGAACGGAAAGGCCCAAGCUUGCUUGGGUACUCGAGUGGCGAACGGGUGAGUAACACGUGGGUGAUCUGCCCUGCACUUCGGGAUAAGCCUGGGAAACUGGGUCUAAUACCGGAUAGGACGAUGGUUUGGAUGCCAUUGUGGAAAGUUUUUUCGGUGUGGGAUGAGCUCGCGGCCUAUCAGCUUGUUGGUGGGGUAAUGGCCUACCAAGGCGUCGACGGGUAGCCGGCCUGAGAGGGUGUACGGCCACAUUGGGACUGAGAUACGGCCCAGACUCCGAAGGGAGGCAGCAGUGGGGAAUAUUGCACAAUGGGCGCAAGCCUGAUGCAGCGACGCCGCGUGGGGGAUGACGGCCUUCGGGUUGUAAACUCCUUUCGCUAGGGACGAAGCGUUUUUGUGACGGUACCUGGAGAAGAAGCACCGGCUAACUACGUG
rnacentral:rRNA from 1 species